ensembl:piRNA 21ur-10036 ncRNA
UUGUCGAUCGGAUUAAUUUUU